UCCUAGGUCAGGGUUCAACCACUGAGCCACACCGGCCAGGCAAGAUGAUGGUUUUCAUGGAGGCAUCACUUAAUUCUUUAUAAGGGAAAACCCAGAAAGAACCUUUGACCUGGUAUUGAACGUGAAAUGUCACUCCUCUGAAGGCGAAGAUCCCGUGGUUUUGUGGAAAUUCCCAGAGAAGGACU